UUCCCGCGCUUCUUCUAGCGGAGCUCCGACUUUCUCGCGAGGAGCAGCGCGCUGAUUGGCGGGCGGCGCUGGAGAGCUGAGCUGAUUGGCUAGGGACCGAGAGGCGGGAAGAGGGGGCUCGGGGCUGACGUGGUGUGAGGCAGAGGGAGCUCUGGGGGGUGAAGGGUGAGGUGGCGGUUGUGUACCCGUUCCCGUGGCCGUCUUCGGCGUCGGCUUUCUGACAGAAAAAGGGACUGGGACGUGCCCUGCUUCCAUGUGGCUGCUGCCCUGGCCACCCGGGAGGCCGUUCUGGGGGAAAAAGGGGUCCCAGCACUUCCCGUUCGUCCAAGCCUGGAGGUUUCUAGAGCUUUCUAGAAGGAAGUAGUGUUUGCUCUUUUGAACUAAGAACCCAACAUCAGAUAUCCUCGUGGCAGUUUGACCUGUAGGGCCUUGGGCUGGCCAGACCUCACCGAUGUGCUGUUAGGAAAGAAAGUUGCGGUGCGUGCUCCUGUGAGAUCUGCUGCUGAAACACUUAGACUUGGGGCAACCCUGAUGUGUCCAUGUCUUAUCCUUAACACGUUCCACUUUUCUAGUGUGUAAAUGAUAAUUUGAAGAGCUUGCUGUUGCCCGUACUGAAGGCAUUUUGGCAGUCCUGUUUUUGCAGUGUUUCAGCAAAUGAUUUAGGAUUGCAGGCCCAUUAAUUAGCAGGAAAAAUGCCUGUUGGUAGUGAUUAAUUUUGUUUUAGACAAUGGUGUUGAAGCCAUUUCACAGUCUAUGCUUAGAUAUGUGUAGACCUGUGUUGUGAAGGGGCCAGACCUGAAUAGUGAUUUUUAUGUCUUGAACAAUUUCAAAGAUGAUAAUUACAGUCAAAAGAAAGGCUGUGUCCAGGCUCCCUGAGUGGUUUGAGUUUGGUUUGAUUCUCAACAGGGCCAGAGCAAGCCCUCCAGCUGUGGAGUUGUUAGAUUUUAGUUCUGCAUUAGCAACCUUAGUUCCACAGCCUGGGGAUGUUAAUGAAACCUGUUAGAGAAGGACUGCAGAAACAACUCGCUUGGUAUGGCAGGAUUUGGGGGAGGUUUAGGGAAUGAAGAAAAGGAUGAUGAGAGGAUCAAGUAGAGGACCGGUUCAUUGAAACAGAGAAUUUGAUAGCACAUGUACAAAAAUUGCAUUAGUGCACAUAAUGGAGAAAUAAAACAAUGCAGAUGUGGAGGUUGCUGACUAAGAUGAGAAAUGGGAAGAAAUACAGCCUAAGAAGUGAGGCAACACGAGAAGAGCCAGCCACUGUAGCUGCAAACAUCAUUCUAACUUCUCGGCAACUGUGUGAAAGAACAGGAAUGACUAACAGAUGUUGGUCUGCAAAAAAAAAAGUGUCCUUUUGGCAUAUGAAAUGGAACUCAUCAGCAUCAAGGCUUUACCUUCUGGAAAUUUUUGCCAGUUUCUAGGACUGGAGGUCUGUGCAAAGUGAAGAAAAAUAUUCAUGGGCAUAGGCUGAAAUACAGUGCUUGGAGGAUUUAGUCUUUGCUCACUUUCAGGGAAUGCCUUCAGGAGCAAAUGCAGCGUGAAUUUCCAUGGCAUUCUUAGCUCCUGAUAGUUGGAGCUGCCAGCAGUGGUGAUGGGCUUGGUGAUUCCCUGUGAAUCCUCUUCUCUGUAACAUCUGUCCUUGCAAGCACAGCAGUAACUGCAGCACCUGUGUUCUUGACUCAUCAAAGGAAGCAAUCCUAGAAAGUGCCAAGUGCACUUUAGUUGUCUCUCAGUAACAGCGUAGCAGCUGGAGAAGGAAGCCUCAGCAGCAUUGCACAUCCAGAUGACCUCUGCAGCCCACCAGGAAGGGCCGUAGAGACUUCACAGGUUACAGAGCACAGCACAGGAACCUCUGUCAGCUGGGAUGGGAGACCACUGAGGAAUUCCAGGUGAGCUUAAAAAAGGAUGUCACAGGGAACAGCAUUAACCUCUCUGGGCUCUUCUGCACCACAACAGCACUAGUUCAAAACUGAAGAUCCAUGAGAUUCAGCGUGCAAAAAUAAGCUGACAGAGGCUUGAAAUGGGUUGUAUCUCCCUCGUAACAGCUGGUAGCCUGAACAGACACACAUUACUGCUCACUGGGAAGUUUGGAAACAUGCAGGCUUGUGUAUUGUGCUUUUCCAUAGGACCUCUGACCACCUAACAGAACUCAGAAGGGCUCCGGUGGAAGAUGUUAUAGCCUUGACCUGCUUCCACCAGGCUUCCUUGUGUCCCUCCUUGUGUCUCGGAUUUAAAAGGACUGGGUAUAAGACUGACGACGUCCGCACCAAAGUGAAGCUAUCUUUAAAUGCCUCCAAAGCUUGGAAACCCAAGGUUGCCCUAAGAGCUUCCAUCAGCAUGCAGGAUCUCCAGAAGUGCUGUUCAUGUCAACACAGUUGGCCAAAGCAGAAAGCCUAUAGUUUGGGCCAGGAAAGACAGUGGCAUGACUAUCCUCAGCUGUCUGCAUUGGACAGAGAUGGGAAUGUACAGCACGUGCUCAUCAGUGAGUUGCACAUUCACAGCAAACCACUUGGGCUUCUUUCUCCUGCUACUAAGGAGUUCCUAAUGCUGAAUUCUUCAUCACCUGAAGACUUUUUCUGUUCAGGAUGGAUGUGGUCCUCUCAUGCUUACGUGACACUUUUAUCUAUGCAAGCAUAUUCAAAAUAUACUGUAAAUGGUCCCCCAAAAGAAAGUGAAUGAUGAGUCCUUGAUCGAUUUGGACAAGUCGCUGCUUAGUGUAAGCCAUAAAGAAUGACUAUAAUGUCCUGACAACAUUGUGAACAUUUGGCUACAGGAGAUCAAGCUCAAAGACUGUGUGGGUGACUCUUAGCCCUAAAGAUCGUCAACGGAGGAGUCAGAGCUUGUCUGAUGGUGCUGCUGAUCCCCAUUCAGCAACGCAUUUAAGCAUCUGUUUAUGGCUGUUACAGUCCUGUGGCCAUUCAUCCCGCAAACUGCAGGGGAGCAUGUUUACAGUGGAUUCCCACAUCAGAAGUAGUGACAUCAGUGAUUCCUCUUGCAAUUUCCCAUCGGUGCCCCAGGGACAGGGCUGGUCUUCCUUUGGUAGCACGCGCUGAGGUCUGGGGACAGCAGGUGCUGUGAUACGCCGAAGUGCUCAUGCUCUCCUGAGGCGUUAAAGCCAGGGGUCUGCAGACAAGCUAAGGUUGCUUGAGCCAGAGCAUGAGGUUAUUCCCCUCUGAGCCUGCGGUCUCUGCAGCCCCAGGAGAAGCUCUGAUCCACUCCCUCUUCUCCCUUGAGGCAGGAGCUGCGGGGAAUCCUUGUUAUCCCAAGAGGACCUGCUGGAAGCUCUGCGUACUGUUUCUUCUCCUGUAUACUUAGUGCUGAUGAGCCUACUACAGGUGGGUAGCUCCACAUGGCCACAGCUCGCACGUGCUGAGCACCACAGCAUCCUGCGACCACGUCCCAUGCAACGGCCUCCCUGGGAGAGGAGGGAGCAGCCCGCAGCGAUGUUUGCCUCCCCACGAGCAGGACUGGGGGCUCUCACUUCCACGGCAGUGCGUGGCAGAUACUGUUUAUUUAAUUCUCCUGCGAGGCAGUGGUAAUGUACGUCCAGGAGAAUAUAAUUGCUUUCCUCUUUGUCUUGAAGCUGUAAACUAUUUUCAGUUGUAUUAAAAAAACAGUGUAGGAACAAAACAUGUUUGGGAAUUAUAAUCGCCAUUGCCUCAAGGUUUUCCUGAUUUUUCUUCUCAGAAGAGCUUGGUCCUGCCACAUGCAGGAAUGUCUUCAUCGCAUCGUGUUGUGUAUGGCAGCAUGGGAUCAGCUGGGGGACCACGGGGGAAAGGACUGCAGAGGCUGGUUUGGCUGUGGAAGGGACAGUGAGGCAGCAGCUCCUUCAGACAGUUCAAGGGCACACUUGUGAUUUGGAUGUGCUCAGCUAGCUGUACAUCAUUAUGGAGCCAUUAGGGCCGUGGCUUGGCAGCAGCUGUGACAUUAAAAUGUAUAAGAUGUUACCAAAGGAAGCACUUGGCAAAAUUUUUUUGGCUUCCCUAGACAUAAACAACAAAUUUUCUCUACAAUGGUAAGUUAUGACUGGGGGUGAGUCACUAAUAUAUUUAGAAGGAUGUCCUCUCCAGAGGCCACAGCUGGCUAAAUUAAGCCAAGACAGGGUAACCCUCGUGGUUGAGGGGCACAGUGGGGAAUUCCCAGAUGGCUUCCUAAAAUCUGCCUGUUACACACUGCUGCCGUUCCACGUGAGAGCUCUGCAGGAGCUCUCUGAAUCUGUGCAGGACAGACCCUCCAGUGCUAGAAAUAGGUAUGAGGAGGCAUACUAGUGCAAGGUGUCUUAGUCUUGUAGCUUCCUGGUAGCUUCAGGGAGGUGCCCGUCGUGGAACUCAACUCCUGUGGCUAUCUGGAGAUAAAAUGUAGUUUUUGUGUCUGAAAAGCCAUUUCUGAAACUUUGAUUUCAACUUUUGGGUUAACCUAGUGCUCAGGAGCUUUUAUAUCUUGCCCAGGCUAUAAGAUAAGUUCUUUAUGUUACACCUUGCCUUCGACGAGAAAGUAUGGCGAAGAUGUAGUGUCGUGGUCAGUUCAGAAGAAUCCACAGAAAUGAUCUGCAGCUUGGAGAAGUGUAUCUUCAUUCCUGGGUGAUGUAGUAACAGCUUAGCUUGUACAGCUGAUUUAACAAAAAUAUUUAUUUCAGUGAAAUUAAUUCCAGCUCACUUUUAGUUUCUUCUUUUAGAAUUUUUCCCCGUUCUUUCGUUUGGCUCUUGAUGAGGUGAGAGUUGCAGUGAUGGCAUGUAGAGACUCUUGUUUGCAAUAACAUCGUUCUAACAAUGCAGUCUUAUGAGGAGGACCAUAAGGCUGCAUGUGGCCAUAUGCACUGCCACACCAACACCAUGAUGUCGAAAUUCAAGUGGAAAGGACUUCACAUCUGCCUGGUAAUGUAACAAAGCAAUAUUAACAUUUUCAUAAAAUGUUCUGAAAGCAGUUUGGUUUGGCUCGCCGUUCAGAUACUCAAGCCAAAGAGACUGUCCUGAGAGUGGUGUAAGUAUAGAAGCAAUACAGAGCACUAAAUGAGGUUGCAGGAUGUGAAGUGCCAUUUUGAGAAGGCAGUUAAUGAGGCAGAGCUUUGUAAAAUCCCUUGUUUUUCUGCCUGUGCCCACAUACCUGAAAAAACGUAAGAAUCCUCUGCACACAGUGCUGUACAGUUUGGGGACAUUGUUUUCAUCCUGAUGCUCCCUAAGAUCACAAGAAGCAUGACCUUUACUUGAUAUUUUUUUCAUGUUUAUUUGAUAAUUUUCUCAAUUAUCCAAAGUUUAGAAAUAGAUGCUUGCCAAGUAUUGCAAGAUGGUCAUUGUAAUCACUGCAAGUGAUUAUAAAGAGUGAACUUAAUUCAUCUGUCCAACACAAAAAGACAUCAGCGGGGAUUUUUAACCCAGCAGCAGAAGAAAUAACAUGAACUGGUAGGUGGGAACCUCAAGGUGACCAUUUCUGAACAUCAAAACUUAAACAAAUAUCAACACUGAAUAAUGAAACGUUGCUGCAUUCUACCCCUAACUCAGCCACAGCUGAGAGGGGUAAGAGCAGGAACCGGAGGUUGGAAUCCCACUGCCGUUGGGACAGAGGUUGAAUCAGAGUGGUUUUAACAAUUCCUUCAACCCUAGAUACUUUUUAUUGCAGCUGGACUUGCCAGACUGAGCCUGUUGGGGUCCUGGGUAACUGUCUGUGUAUGCCUGGACAGACUUUUAUUUGCAUGCUAGUUGGGAAAUGGUUGUCGUUUGUAUGUGUACUUUUAUUUACAUGUGAACAAGAGUAUUUGUUCUUCAUCAGCCUUUGUUCUCCUAUUUUUAAAAGGCUUACUCAUCCCCUCAAAGAUUAGAAUCAGCUCCAUCUGAUUUAGGUGACAGUUCUCACCCCAUGAGCAGCAAGAAAUUGAAAUGAACUGUUCCUGGAAUGAGCCGUUGUUGAUCCAGGCUGUCCAACAAGUACUUGAAUAACAAAUAUCUCUUACCAAACCAAUGUUGGUUCAUGAACAGAGAAAAAGAAUGAAGUUCACUGGAUUACUUGUUUGCGAAACAUAGUUCAGCCCUUUCUUUGCCAAAGUCUAGCUGUCAGGAACUAGAUCCUUAACUGCUAUAAACCAACUCAACUCAUUGACUUCAGUGGGGAGGUGACAGUUUACACUAAGUGAUCAUCCAGCCUCAAAAGUGCAGCAGGACAGCAGUGUGAAAAAAACAAAUGAGGGGGAAUGGUAGCAAAACAUUUCAGGAUAGCCAGAGAGAUUCCUGGGAUAAAUUGCAGAUACGGUCUGUUUUUUGCGAAGAUAAGUUUUUUCAUCUCUUAUCUCCUCUUUCUCUUAGUGCUAGCAAAGAUCAAAUGUGAAGCAAAACUUGCAAGGAGGGGUAAGGUUAGCAUGGGUGAUGCAGCAGGGGGAAUGGAUUUAGGAACAAAUCUCUUCCUCUUGUCAAUUUUUUGCUCUCCUUUGUAUCAGUUGGUGCGACAAGGAUUGGGGUUGGUUCUCCAGCUAGAAAAAGUGCUGUGCUCAUGUUGCUGGAUCAUCACGGCUACAGGAACACCAUCUGAUCAAACACAUCAGAUUUUCCACUGAAGUUGUGUUUAUUGGCUUAGCAGUGCAACUGGCGUGAGUGUAGAAAUCCCAGCAAUUUCCAAGGUUUGAAACAGAAUCAGUUGCUUGAUCCUGUCCUCUCUCGUUCGGUCAUGAGGCAGUUGUAUAAGGAGGCAUCGCGCCCAAAGAGGGAACACUGCGAAACAGUAAAUUCUUCAGACCAGGUGAGCAUUGUUGCAGUGUUCAGCAUGGUAUGGUGGUAAAGAAUUUUAGUGAUUUUUAACAUUCAUGUUUGUCUUUGGGUAAUGAUUAUGUGGGAUUUGUGCCUACUUGAACUCCAAGCAGGUUUGAAGUGAGCCAAGCUCAGGAGUUAGCUGCUGUAUACGCUGAUGCUACAGAGGUAGUGCUAAGUCAAGCAAACAUAUAAGGAAGAUUAACUCAUCUAAAUGAAACAAGCCUAAGGAGUAAAGCAAUAAUAAAACGGAUUGCCUUACAUUGAAAAUGGGUCUCUGGGUGUGUUGAGGUGUGAGGGUCUAAGAGGUGGACCCAUGGUGACCUCUGGCUUCAGCUGGGCUGGAAAAGAAUCUUAAUGGCAAAGUUCCCCUCCUGUCAGAAUGGCAAAAGCCAUCCUUCCACACUAAGCAACUUUCUAUUAAUAUUUUUGGAGCUAAUUUGCUAUCAUUUAGCAUGUUAUAUUCAUGGCACUUGGAAAGAGGAAUUAAAUAAGGCACAUAAUUAAGGGUUAUUAGCAUUAUUCAUUACCAGUGUUGUAAUGUUUAGAGGCCAUUCUCGAGUUGCUUUUCCCUAUAGCUUAUACAAACACAGAAGAAAAGAGUUCUCCAAGAUGUUUUAAUUCAGGAACACUGUUAAAAUAAAUGCCCACCAAAAUGUAAAGCAAGAUCUCUUUUCUAAUGAACUGACACUAGCUGCUUCUCAGGGUAUGCCAAUGACUGACCUUAUUGCUUGCUUGCCAUUCAUGUUUCAUGGAUGAAAAAAAUGCUGGUAUGAGAUUUCCAAAUUACUUCUGCAGCAAGUAAUGCCAGCAGAAGUGUUUUGAAAGAAUUGAUCUGUAAAAUUGUCUAAAUGCCAGGGCACACACUGCAUACUCUAAUAGCUGACGGGCUGGGGAAUCUCAGUCUAACUGUAGGAGGCAUUUCUAACACACUUUUGGGGAAGGUAACAAAAAUCUGGAAGUUGACUGUGGGGUUUUAAACCACCUUAAAACGAGGUUAGUGAACAGCUUCUCCAUUAUCCUGUUACAUGUCAGGAGUCCUUCCACAUCUGUUACGGGGAAUAGCCCAACUCCAACAAAGCCAUAGUAGCUGAAGGUUUGGCCCACGAAGUAUAUCCAAAAUACUGCAAAUUCCUACAAAAAGGAAUCCUUCGUCCCCAUUAGCAUUUCAACACACACUCACUACGGAGAUCUCACUGGGGGUAAAGCAUUAAAACCCUUUCAGAAGUGGUUUAGCUGGCUAAUUAGACAAUAAGCAUAAACCUGGUGCAUCCAGCUGUACAAAUAAAACGUGACUUUAAAGUUUAAUGUCCUGCGCACGGAGUAGUCGUGAACUUGGAGCCAGGAUGGGCUGAGGGGAAGGUGGCUGCCUUACAGCUCGGUAGUGUCUGCAGGCCGAAACCUUUGGAGACCGAAAAGAGCGUUUAUUUUGCGUGUAACUAAAAGGAACUAAGUACCAGUUACCGCAAAUAGGGCGAUCUUUAUCUUCCUUUGUUGGCCUGCUUGGAGGGAAAAGAAUCUGAAAAGACUGGCGCAGCCGCAGGCUCCGCAAAGAGGAGAUCUCCCUCACAUUGCUGACAUGUCUCUCAUUUUUUGGGUGCUGCCUUACUGCUGAAGGAAAUUAACAGGUCAUUUUAAUGCCCUGGUCCGCCCUUGGCUCCUGGGUAGGUGUGAUCAAGUAGCUAAACGCUUACAGAGCUGACAUUGCUCCCCUCCACCUUAAUGCAUCUGUGUUUAAGGAAAAUCGGGUUCCUCUCGGGCAGUUUUUUGACUUUGGCUAUCUCGGAGCGGCACCUGUAAGCGCUCACUUUGAGAGAUUGCUAAUGUGCUAAUUACCCAGGACCCAAAAAUGCAAGCUGUAAACAAAUGAGGGCUGUAUUUAUAAUCAAUCAAUUUUAUGACCUUCUGAUGGCGAUGAUAUCAGUGGAGUUUACAUUGGGAGCCCUUGUACUCCCCCAGGGCAGCUGUGCCCGUAUGUUUUAGUUGCAGUUCGAAGAAGAUUUUGCUAAUUCAUUUUAUAGGAGGUGUGCUUAAGAAAAAUAUUACCUUUCCUAAACAGCUGAGCCCGUUACCAAGUCUCAUUUUUAAAUAAUGAAAACAUGGGGACUGUCAGUACCUCGAGGCUGUAUUGUCAGAUACGGGCUGUUUUCAAAACAGCCACGGCAGAAAGUAAUGACUUCAGAGCAAAAUAUUGUUCUCAUUGGUAUAAGUUGCUGUGAGACAAAUCCCACACCCUCUGAUGGCAAUGGAAAGACUCCGGUUGACUUCAAAGAGGACUGGAUCAGGCCCUAAAAGAAAUGUUGCCAUCGUAAACCACCACAAAUGCUUUAUGGUUCGUACGUUUUAAAACGUUCUGCUCGCUGGUGAUCUUCUGUGCAGCCUACCUGGCUGCAUGCAACUUGUGAUUUUUGUGUUUGCUUUGCAAUGACACAAGAAUGCCCAUAAAGUCUGAUUUGUGAAGUGUCAAAAUGAUGUCCUGGAAAGCCACACAAUGCCAAGGUAUACAAGAUGCCCUGUAAUACCUCAGCAUGAGGAAGGCCAUCCAACUUCCCCGAUGUUACUAAGUUCUCACAAAGAAAAACAAUGCUGUUUAGCCAUAGACAGAUGUAGUAAAAACAGCUGGAUUUUGUGCCCCAGUUCUUUUAUUGGAAUCCUUAGCUUUUCAAUCUAAAUUCAGAUUAGAGUUUGAGGACAGGACUGUUUCCUACGUUUUCCAAAGCUUUGAUUUGAGCAAGUUUUAAAAAUGGGACAGGAUGGGGACCUGUGUCCAUGGUUAUGAGCCCCUCGAGCUGGAAGCCCAGAGAUAUCUUUAUUAGCUCCAGAUCAGCAGCAGAUGCAAGCCAUUCAGCGAAAGCUCUUUCUCUCGGCAUCGUACCCUGCUUUAAACAUGGGUUAUAAAUGUGAUUUUUUCCUUAGGGUUGUCAAGGACGUGGCUCUGCAGAGAGGAUCAGAGCUCCGUUUCGUCCUGCGUCGUAUCUCCUGUGAGCAGAUGCCUCAGAAGACCACGCUGGAGCCCUGAGGCUGGAUGAUCGAUGAAACCAGUCAACCAAAAGGUGCUCUGCAAUGCUCCCCAGCUCCUACAAAGUCAGUCAGUGCACAAGGACAUUGCCACGGCUCCAUGGCUGUAGUGGACUCACUGAUUUUCGGCUGGUGGAGCUGAGGGAGGUAUUUUGCCCAAAGCAUCUCAGAAAUGCCUGUGAUUUCAGUUUCCAACAUGACUCUGAGCUGGGGAAUGAGAACGUGCCAGGAGUGUCAGUGACAGCUUUAGAAAUGGAUUGUUUGCAUAAACUUGAAAACAGUACAAGCAUAAAUGUAUUUCCUUUGUUUAACUUUUCACUCUUGUUUACUCGUCUCUGCUUCUAAAAGGCUUUGCAAGUAAACUCUGCAAAUCUUUAAGUUUUGCAGGCAUUAAUGGGGGCUGGGAGUUCUGGGAUCUCUCCUCGGCCCUGCUGUUAGCUGAGGCGCCGGGUAGGCCCGUAGGCCUCUGAUCCACAAGCCACUGGAACCAGCAGGAAGAUUUUUAUUUAAUUCACCUUGAAUCAGUCCCCAAACCUCUGUUGAGGCCCUUGGGGUUUUGUUACACCCUGGGGACAGCACCCAUCUCCUUGGUGCUGCAGAUCCUGGUGAGUCUCGGCCCCUUCUCCCAGUGCCUCAGAGGCAUGUGGGCAACGCAGGAAGGGGACCUGAAAAUCAGACAGGCUCAGGGCUUCCUCAGGGCACCCGAGGUAGAACAAGACUUCUAUGGACUGUAGUUUUAUUUGGUAAGGAAGAAUUGCUUAGGCUGUGAGAUUUUGUGGGAAAUAACUGGUUUUUAAACCUGUGUUUUUCACCACCAGUGCAGUGAAGCCCUGACCUGUGUGUGCUGGGGAGGAGGGAGAGGAGCUUCAGCUGUACAACAAAUAAAAAUCUGGGGCUCCUGUUGCAUUUCAUAAAUUCCCCCUCCCCUGCAUUUACCUAGUCAAUCACCUUAUUAAACCUGUGCAUAUACCUCUGUUUGGGCUGUCCUUCUUCUGCAUGGAUAUAAAUUUUGGAUGCUGACAUUGGUGGAUGAUAGGUAAAUGGCCACUAAAAUGGCCAUCUUUCUCCUUGCCUCAUGGCAUCUGUAGGGGACUUAAGAAACCCACAAAGAAAGAGGACCAGGACAGCAUGCAGGCCUCUUGCUUGGAGGCUCCCAGUUCGACUGGAAAGGCCUGACUUCACCAUCCCAUAGCUGCACACAUGACUGGGCCUGGGGAAUUUGUUUCCUGUGAUUGCCACUCACCUGUGGGAGGAAGGCUUGAAAGCCAGGUCAGGCAGAAGUGUUUGGGCCCCAUGCGACACAUUGAGCAGCCGGCAUGUCCUGUGCAGCUUUUAAAACCAGGGCAGGCCAGAAGCAGCUGUAGUUGGGCUCUGGAGCAUAAAGAACGGUGUUUUAUAACUGGUCGCUGUUCUAGGGCUUGCACAUUGCCCCUGUGGGGUCUCUAAAAUUCAACAGAGAAAAUUGUCAGAAGGCUCAGAUUUACUCUGCAGUAGUCCACACUAGUACCCGAGCGUUUGUGGGGUUUCUGCAGUUCUGAUGUGCUGAACAUGACUGGCUCAGAAAAAAAGACCUGUUCUUGCAGUGAAGACUCUGAACCAGCACAUACAAGUGCUGGUUUCCCUCGGAUUUCCAGAGCAGCACUGGACAAGUUACUUGAGCCCAAAUCUGCAAAUGUACAGUGCAGGUGGACUCCUAUUGAGAUAAAUAGGAACGAAACAUCUAAACAUCUUUGUAGAUCUGAACCCUUACCUAUUCUGAAAGUGGGGGCAGCAAUCAUAUAUUUCUUCAACUUUCUGCCAGUCUAGUUUAUUUAGACUAAAAAUUGGUGAGAAUAAUACUGUUUUCUUGGUAUGUAUGCAUGGACCCUGGCAUGAGAUUUGUCUCAGCCAAGUCCUUCAAGCACUACCACAUGCCAGAUUUGUCAGAGAGUCUUGUGUUAAAUGAGAGAGUCUGCAAUGCAAUAACAGAUUCGUCUUCAUUUUGGUCCUUGUUUUUACCCUGAUUUCCUAAGGGAAAACAAAGUUUUAUGCAGUCAUGCUCAGGGUGACUGUUCAGGUGUGUGGGUCCCUGGCCCUGCUUUUUGCCCUAUCGCUCUCUGUCUGUAGGCCAAUUUCACCCAAAUCUGAGAGAGUCUCAAAAACAAUCAAUGGCCAAACAUUGUAUAGAGACCUAAUUAGUCCUCCUAGUGCGGAGAAAUCUAAACUCAACCCUUAUAAGACAUCAGAAGAUGGAAAAGAGGAAGAAAAGGUGAAAAUGUGAGAUCACGGUGUGAUGUGAGUAGGUACCAAAGAAUCCACCUUUCAUUUAAAGUGGUAAUUUUGUGUGGAUUCUCUAGUGUUUAAUACGAUGCAGAGUGGAUGAUGACUUUCAGCUGGAACUCCUCUCUCUCCCAUGAUGAUUCUCUGGUGUCUUAUACAGGGCAAGUUCACACUGCAGGCAGGACUCGGUCAAGCAGUCGGUCAUCCACAGGGCAUCAGCCUAAAGAGACCCAGGCUUCCUGAGGCCCAGAGCUAACGUAGCUGCUUGUUUUUCUAUGUGUGUGUGCACUUCAAUGAAGAGAGGUGGUCUGCAGACUCUGAGGGUCAUUCUGGGGAUCUCCAGACAUAUAAAGUCAAGCAAUUUCUUGUGUAAGUGACCCCAACAAGGUCAGAGUAAUGACAAGUGUGUGGGACUGCUCGCACCAGUAGUUAUCCACUAUUGUGCAAACUCUUGUCCUCAGGACAUGAAUACUCCUACCUGCCUCACGUGCUAUUUGAGGAGCUGUGACUACUCAGUAUUGCUCAAUCUUGCAGGAAAUCAUUAUCUCCAACAUUUCACUUCUCUGAAAUUGUCUCUUACCUCAAAAUAAGCCCUGCAGUCCCCUGACUGACAAAGGUUUCACUUGAUAUCAUUACUUUUCCUUUCUCUUUUAAAGUUUGUAGAGUUACCAGCAGUGUCUUUUCCAGAUACAAUCUUUGGAGCAGAACAUUAACUCAGUGCAUUCACUCAGGAAGGUGUUUGUGUUUCCACUAGCCUAAGGACAGCAAGGAGGAUUUUACACAUCUGUAACGCAUGUGGUCACCCUGGAUCUUUUCCUUGACUCCCUACCUAAAUAGCCGGCGUGGAUUGGAUGCUAAGCAACAUUCAGACUUGGUGAGCCUCUCAUCUUGUCAGCUGUGUAUUAAGGCACAUACAGUCAUUUGGCGUAACAGUGCGAUUGUUGUAGCUUUGUUUAAUCCUGCCUCCUUUACCUUUCUGUAAGUCAGUACCACCAUCUGUUCUGAAAGCUGUGCACCAGCCCCUUGGCCCCCGCAGCACUGGAUGAAACCUUUCCAGGGCUCUGUGCUGGAUCAUCCAGGGGCCAUAUGGAGCUGCCUAAGAGGCAAGGAAAGCUCUUCUCACACUCCAAGAUUGCUGCCUUCCUUGCGAGAUUACAGCUCCAAGAGACAAAGCUGCAUCUAAGCUUGGACUGUGCAUACAAUGGUAGAAAGCUCAGUUACUAUCACUGCUUGUGAAGGAUAAUUAAUGUGAAAGUACUUUUCUUGAGCUGCCUGGUAGGUCCCCAUUUCAGCUUUGUUCAGUAAAGCACUUAAGCAUGUGCUUAAAAUUAAGUGUGCUGCUGACUGGAGGCCUUGGACAAUAAAUAUGCUACUGGAAAUGUAUCUGGGCCAUACAUUUAUUAGUCUGCCUAAAAGCCCUGUUAUUUCUUCUUCAGUUCUGAUGUAAAUCACGUCUUUCAAAAGCCACAGUUGUGGGUAAAUGUCUGAUUUUGAUAGGCGUUGCGUAUUGCAGCUAUGGCUGAUUUUAAAUAAACUUAUAGAUUCCCAGUACAUCUGCAAAUGAGACACAGCUUGGUUCCUUUCAGUGGUUAAGUGUUUUUUGAGAAAUCUCUCUUUGAACUACCCAUCUGCAGGCUUUUUCUUUUUACUGUCUGUGUGGCCAUCCUGCAAUUACCUGUGGGUUUAUGAUCCUUCUCUAGAGAACAAGUUGGUUGGAUAGCUUGACGGUAAAGAAAGAUGGGGGUGAUAAAAUGGGGCAGAGUAUGAUAUCAGUUACAAGUGUCAAACGAGUGUCCCUCCAGAUUUACACUGCUGCAACUUCACUAUGGAUCUUGCUCCAAGAUUUGCCGUAAAUGGUCGUUGCAAUAUUUUUGGAGUUUAUUCUGUUGAAUAAAAGUGUAUCAUCAAGAAUUGUGUGUCUUCGUGACUGCAGUGAAGAUAGGCUGGAGCGUGCAACUCAUUGGCAAAGCAAAUGGAAAGUAAAUCUGUGGGAGCGGGAGGAAGAAACUAGAACAUGUUUUUAAAAGGUUUACGGCUAGCAAUUUAUUUCCUUCACCCUGGUUCAAUGCUGGGCAACAGUAAACAACGAAGGAGCCAAAAUUCCCUCUGAAAUUGAAGUGACCACACAAAGAAAGGCUGUAAUUCUCCAAAGCAGCGAUAGAUUUUGGGAACCUGCUUGCAUUACUCUGAAAGGACUGGGGGAGUUCAGGUGAGCGGUCAAGCCCCCUUGGAAAACUUGAUUUCUAUGAGCUGGAUGGCAAACAGAUCACCAAAUCAUCAUUU